rnacentral:rRNA from 1 species
AACGAACGCUGGCGGCAUGCCUAACACAUGCAAGUCGAACGAGACCUCCGGGUCUAGUGGCGCACGGGUGCGUAACGCGUGGGAACUUGCCCUUAGGUUCGGAAUACCUCCCUGUAAGGGGUGUUAAUACCGGAUAAUGUCUUCGGACCAAAGAUUUAUCGCCUUUGGAUGGGGGCGCGUUGGAUUAGCUGGUUGGUAGGGUAAAAGCCUACCAAGGGGACGAUCCAUAGCUGGUCUGAGAGGAUGAUCAGCCACACUGGGACUGAGACACGGCCCAGACUCCUACGGGAGGGAGCAGUGGGGAAUAUUGGACAAUGGGCGAAAGCCUGAUCCAGCAAUGCCGCGUGAGUGAUGAAGGCCUUAGGGUUGUAAAGCUCUUUUACCCGAGAUGAUAAUGACAGUACCGGGAGAAUAAGCACCGGCUAACUCCGUG